rnacentral:rRNA from 1 species
UUGGGAAUAUUGCGCAAUGGACGACAGUCUGACGCAGCGACGCCGCGUGAAGGAUGAAGGUUUUCGGAUCGUAAACUUCUUUUAUAUGGGACGAUUGUGACGGUACCAUAUGAAUAAGGGCCUGCUAACUACGUGCCAGCAGCAGCGGUAAUACGUAGGGCCCGAGCGUUGUCCGGAUUUAUUGGGCGUAAAGAGUAUGUAGGUGGUCAUUUAAGUCGGAUUUUAAAUUCCCAGGCUCAACUUGGGUGCUGGAUUCGAAACUAUUUGACUUGAGGUUAUCAGGGGCAAGUGGAAUUAGCGGUGUAGCAGUGAAAUGCGUUGAUAUCGCUAAGAACACCAAUGGCGAAGGCAGCUUGCUAUGAUUUCUCUGACACUGAGAUACGAAAGCGUGGGGAGCGAACG